CAGUAGGGAAUCUUCCACAAUGGGACGAAAUUCUGAUGGAGCAACGCCGCGUGAGUGAAGAAGGGUUUCGGCUCGUAAAACUCUGUUGUUAAAGAAGAACAUAUCUGAGAGUAACUGUUCAGGUAUUGACGGUAUUUAACCAGAAAGCCACGGCUAACUACGUGCCGG
rnacentral:rRNA from 1 species